GCAGUCAGGUAGGGCAUCAAGGCAGUAUAGCAGAGCAUCAAGGCAGUAUAGCAGAGCAUCAAGGCAGUCAGUUGGGGCAUCAAGGCAGUAUAGCAGAGCAUCAAUGCAGUCAGGUAGGGCAUCAAGGCAGUCUAGCAGGGCAUCAAGGCAGUCAGGUAGGGCAUCAAGGCUGUCAGGUAGGGCAUCAAGGCAGUCUAGUAGGGCAUCAAGGCAGUCUAGCAGGGCAUCAAGGCAGUCAGGUAGGGGCAUCAAGGCAGUCAGGUAGGGUAUCAAGGCAGUCAGGUAGGGUAUCAAGGCAGUCUAGCAGGGCAUCAAGGCAGUCAGGUAGGGCAUCAAGGCUGUCAGGUAGGGCAUCAAGGCAGUCUAGUAGGGCAUCAAGGCAGUCUAGUAGGGCAUCAAGGCAGUCUAGCGGGACAUCAAGGCAGUCUAGUAGGGCAUCAAUGCAGUCUAGCAGGGCAUCAAGGCAGUCAGGUAGGGCAUCAAGGCAGUAUAGCAGAGCAUCAAGGCAGUCAGUUGGGGCAUCAAGGCAGAAUAGCAGAGCAUCAAUGCAGCCAGGUGGGGCAUCAAGGCAGUCCGGUAUGGUGUCAAGGCUGUCAGGUAGGGGCAUCAAGGCUGUCAGGUAGGGCAUCAAGGCUGUCAGGUAGGGCAUCAAGGCUGUCAGGCAGGGCAUCAAGGCAGUUUAGCAGGGCAUCAGGGCAGUCAGGUAGGGCAUCAAGGCAGUCAGGUAGGGCAUCAAGGCAGUCAAGUGGGGCAUCAAGGCAGUAUAGCAGAGCAUCAAGGCAGCCAGGUGGGGCAUCAAGGCAGUCGGGUGGGGCAUCAAGGCAGUCGGGUAGGGCAUCAAGGCAGUCGGGUAGGGCAUCAAAGCAGUCGGGUAGGGCAUCAAGGCAGUCAGGUUGGGCAGCAAGGCAGUCAAGUGGGGUAUCAAGGCAGUCAGGUGGGGUAUCAAGGCAGUCAGGUAGGGACAUCAAGGCAGUCAGGUAGGGUAUCAAGGCAGUCAGGUAGGGACAUCAAGGCAGUCAGGUAGGGCAUCAAGGCAGUCUGGCGGGGCAUCAAGGCAGUCAGGUAGGGCAUCAAGGCAGUCUAGCAGGGCAUCAAGGCAGUCUAGCAGGGCAUCAAGGCAGUCAGGUAGGGCAUCAAGGCAGUCUAGCAGGGCAUCAAGGCAGUCAGGUUGGGCAGCAAGGCAGUCAAGUGGGGUAUCAAGGCAGUCAGGUAGGGACAUCAAGGCAGUCAGGUAGGGUAUCAAGGCAGUCAGGUAGGGCAUCAAGGCAGUCAGGUAGGGCAUCAAGGCAGUCUAGCAGGGCAUCAAGGCAGUCAGGUAGGGCAUCAAGGCAGUCUACUAGGGCAUCAAGGCAGUCUAGGAGGGCGUCAAGGCAGUCUAGUAGGGUAUCAAGGCAGUCUAGCAGGGCAUCAAGGCAGUCAGGUAGGGCAUCAAGGCAGUAUAGCAGAGCAUCAAGGCAGUCAGUUGGGGCAUCAAGGCAGUAUAGCAGAGCAUCAAUGCAGCCAGGUGGGGCAUCAAGGCAGUCCGGUAUGGUGUCAAGGCUGUCAGGUAGGGGCAUCAAGGCUGUCAGGUAGGGCAUCAAGGCAGUCUGGUAGGGCAUCAAGGCAGUCUGGUAGGGCAUCAAAGCAGUCAGGUUGGGCAGCAAGGCAGUCAGGUUGGGCAGCAAGGCAGUCAAGUAGGGUAUCAAGGCAGUCAGGUAGGGACAUCAAGGCAGUCAGGUAGGGCAUCAAGGCAGUAUAGCAGAGCAUCAAGGCAGUUUAGCAGGGCAUCAGGGCAGUCAGGUAGGGCAUCAAGGCAGUCAGGUAGGGCAUCAAGGCAGUCAGGUGGGGCAUCAAGGCAGCCAGGUGGGGCAUCAAGGCAGCCAGGUGGGGCAUCAAGGCAGUCGGGUAGGGCAUCAAGGCAGUCGGGUAGGGCAUCAAAGCAGUCAGGUAGGGCAUCAAGGCAGUCAGGUUGGGC
rnacentral:misc_RNA from 1 species